rnacentral:rRNA from 1 species
GAGGAAUAUGGGUCAAUGGGCGCGAGCCUGAACCAGCCAAGUAGCGUGAAGGAUGAAGGCUCUAUGGGUCGUAAACUUCUUUUAUAUGGGAAUAAAGUUUUCCACGUGUGGAAUUUUGUAUGUACCAUAUGAAUAAGGAUCGGCUAACUCCGUGCCAGCAGCCGCGGUAAUACGGAGGAUCCGAGCGUUAUCCGGAUUUAUUGGGUUUAAAGGGAGCGUAGGUGGAUUGUUAAGUCAGUUGUGAAAGUUUGCGGCUCAACCGUAAAAUUGCAGUUGAAACUGGCAGUCUUGAGUACAGUAGAGGUGGGCGGAAUUCGUGGUGUAGCGGUGAAAUGCUUAGAUAUCACGAAGAACUCCGAUUGCGAAGGCAGCUCACUAGACUGUCACUGACACUGAUGCUCGAAAGUGUGGGUAUCAAACAGGAUUAGAUACCCUGGUAGUCCCACACAGUAAACGAUGAAUACUCGCUGUUUGCGCAU